UUCUUCCCCUUUAGUGUUCUUCCCCUAAAGGGGAACCCCUUUAGUUCUUCCCCUAAAGGGGAACCCCUUUAGUUCAUCCCCUUUAGGGGAACUAAAGGGGAUGAACCAAAGGGGUGCUCGUCCCCUUUAGGGGAACCGAAGGGGUUCCCCUUCGGGGAAGAACUCCCCUACGGUUCCCCUUUAGGGGAUGAAGAAGGGGUUCCCCUUUGGUUCAUCCCCUUUAGGGGAACUAAAGGGGACGAAGACGAAGGGGUGUUCCCCUUCUUCAUCCCCUACGGGGAACUAAAGGGGACGGAGUCCCCUAAAGGGGAAGAAGGGGUUCCCCUUUGGGGAAGACUUCAUCCCCUAAAGGGGAACUAAAGGGGUUCUUCCCCUAAAGGGGAACUUUAGUUCAUCCCCUAAAGGGGAACUUUAGUUCCCCUUUAGGGGAAGAAGAAGAACACCAAAGUCUUCCCCUUCGGUUCCCCUUUAGGGGACGAACACUAAAGGGGACUGACAAAAAAUAAAGAACAAGUUGUUCAUCCCCUAAAGGGGAACUAAAGGGGAUGACGAAAACCGAAGGGUUGUCCCCUUCGGGGAAGAAGUUUGUCAUCCCCCUUGGGUCACCAAAGGGGAUGCCUUCCCCUUUGGUGACCCANAGAAGACAAACCUUUGGUUGUCCCUACUUUGGUUUUCGUAAGGGAAUGACUUCCCCUUCUUCUUCUUCUUCUUCUUCUUCUUCUUCUUCUUCUUCUUCUUCUUCUUCUUCUUCCCCUUUAGGGGAACUAAAGGGGAACCCCUUCUUCCCCUAAAGGGGACUUCUUCCCCUUUAGGGGACUUCUUCCCCUUUAGGGGACUUCUUCCCCUUUAGUUCCCCUUUAGGGGAACUAAAGGGGAAGACGAGCACUAAAGUGUUCGUCCCCUUUAGGGGAACCAAAGGGGUGUUACCCUUCUUCCCCUAAAGGGGACGGAGUCCCCUAAAGGGGAAGAAGGUUCCCCUUCGGGGAAGACGUAGGGGUGUGCUCGUCCCCUUUAGGGGAACCGAAGGGGUUCCCCUUCGGGGAGCCCCUUCUUCAUCCCCUUUAGUUCCCCUAAAGGGGAUGAACUAAAGGGGAGGGAGACGAAGGGGUUCCCCUUCGG
rnacentral:lncRNA from 1 species